CUCGAGUGGCGAACGGGUGAGUAACACGUGGGUGAUCUGCCCUGUACUUUGGGAUAAGCCUGGGAAACUGGGUCUAAUACCGAAUAUGACCACUUCUUGGAUGGGGUGGUGGAAAGCUUUUUGCGGUAUGGGAUGAGCUCGCGGCCUAUCAGCUUGUUGGUGGGGUAAUGGCCUACCAAGGCGUCGACGGGUAGCCGGCCUGAGAGGGUGUACGGCCACAUUGGGACUGAGAUACGGCCCAG
rnacentral:rRNA from 1 species